rnacentral:misc_RNA from 1 species
AAAAAAAAAAAAAAUUAGAAUACCAUCCUGGCACAUGUAUGAAAUGAUAUAACCAGUUAUCAUUGCAAAUGAAUUAUAGAAGACUACUAGAAUAAAGCUAAGACAGUCAUAUUGCCCCUAUCCCUCAUAGAGGAUCAACAGGCAAAGUAGUAGACAAAAGUACUCCAUCACAAUCGUCAAAGAACAUCUCAAAAUGCAUAUGGCAACGUCAAAGACUGUCAAUUCAAAAAUCAUAUGGGAAGCAACUUCUUAAACAGAAUCCUGUUGAACCCCCUUUCAGCAGUCUGUAGGUUAUUUUGACCCAUCCACACCUCCCUGGACUUGAGCUCGGUGACAAGUAAUGUAAAAUUCAGCAGAUUUUACUGAACCUCAUAUCAUUAGCUUAAAUAU